rnacentral:lncRNA from 1 species
CUGAGCAGCGGAGGACAAGGAGAACAGCAGGCAACUACUCAACUCUCUGUAGACAAGCUACAGUUUGUCUUCGUUAGGAAAAUUGGGGCCGCCGAGCAUAAAGCACACAUAUUCAAAGCUGCCUGUGGGUAGAGCCUAGAACAAAUACUAACAACUGCUCCAGUUGUGUAGAAUCCACAUGAAGACCAAGCUGCAUAUCUGCUACAUAUGUGCAGGGAGGCCCAGGUCCAGCCCUGUAUGUUCUUCGGUUGGUGGUUCAGACUCUGAGGGCCCCAAGGGUCCAGG